AGAGCGAACGCUGGCGGCAGGCCUAACACAUGCAAGUCGAGCGCCCGUAGCAAUACGGGAGCGGCAGACGGGAUAGUAACACGUGGGAACGCGCCCUUCGGUUCGGAAUAACUCAGGGAAACUUGAGCUAAUACCGGAUACGCCCUUACGGGGAAAGAUUUAUUGCCGAAGGAACGGCCCGCGUCCGAUUAGCUAGUUGGUGAGGUAAUGGCUCACCAAGGCGACGAUCGGUAGCUGGUCUGAGAGGAUGACCAGCAUCACUGGGACUGAGACACGGCCCAGACUCCUACGGGAGGCAGCAGUGGGGAAUAUUGGACAAUGGGCGCAAGCCUGAUCCAGCCAUGCCGCGUGGAUGAUGAAGGCCUUAGGGUUGUAAAGUCCUUUUAACGGGGAAGAUAAGUGACGGUACCCGUAGAAUAAGCCCGGCUAACUUCGUGCCAGCAGCCGC
rnacentral:rRNA from 1 species